rnacentral:rRNA from 1 species
GAUGAACGCUGGCGGCGUGCCUAAUACAUGCAAGUCGAGCGAACAGACGAGGAGCUUGCUCCUCUGACGUUAGCGGCGGACGGGUGAGUAACACGUGGAUAACCUACCUAUAAGACUGGGAUAACUUCGGGAAACCGGAGCUAAUACCGGAUAAUAUAUUGAACCGCAUGGUUCAAUAGUGAAAGACGGUUUUGCUGUCACUUAUAGAUGGAUCCGCGCCACAUUAGCUAGUUGGUAAGGUAACGGCUUACCAAGGCAACGAUGCGUAGCCGACCUGAGAGGGUGAUCGGCCACACUGGAACUGAGACACGGUCCAGACUCCUACGGGAGGCAGCAGUAGGGAAUCUUCCGCAAUGGGCGAAAGCCUGACGGAGCAGCGCCGCGUGAGUGAUGAAGGUCUUCGGAUCGUAAAACUCUGUUAUUAGGGAAGAACAAAUGUGUAAGUAACUAUGCACGUCUUGACGGUACCUAAUCAGAAAGCCACGGCUAACUACGUG